GAAUGCUGACAUAAGUAACGAUAAAGCGGGUGAAAAGCCCGCUCGCCGGAAGACCAAGGGUUCCUGUCCAACGUUAAUCGGGGCAGGGUGAGUCGACCCCUAAGGCGAGGCCGAAAGGCGUAGUCGAUGGGAAACGGGUUAAUAUUCCCGUACUUGGUGUUACUGCGAAGGGGGGACGGAGAAGGCUAUGUUGGCCGGGCGACGGUUGUCCCGGUUUAAGCGUGUAGGUGUGUGUUCCAGGUAAAUCCGGUUCACUUUAACACUGAGGCGUGACGACGAGGCACUACGGUGCUGAAGCAACAAAUGCCCUGCUUCCAGGAAAAGCCUCUAAGCAUCAGGUAACAUCAAAUCGUACCCCAAACCGACACAGGUGGUCAGGUAGAGAAUACCAAGGCGCUUGAGAGAACUCGGGUGAAGGAACUAGGCAAAAUGGUGCCGUAACUUCGGGAGAAGGCACGCUGACACGUAGGUGAAGUGAUUUACUCACGGAGCUGAAGUCAGUCGAAGAUACCAGCUGGCUGCAACUGUUUAUUAAAAACACAGCACUGUGCAAACACGAAAGUGGACGUAUACGGUGUGACGCCUGCCCGGUGCCGGAAGGUUAAUUGAUGGGGUCAGCGUAAGCGAAGCUCCUGAUCGAAGCCCCGGUAAACGGCGGCCGUAACUAUAACGGUCCUAAGGUAGCGAAAUUCCUUGUCGGGUAAGUUCCGACCUGCACGAAUGGCGUAAUGAUGGCCAGGCUGUCUCCACCCGAGACUCAGUGAAAUUGAACUCGCUGUGAAGAUGCAGUGUACCCGCGGCAAGACGGAAAGACCCCGUGAACCUUUACUAUAGCUUGACACUGAACAUUGAGCCUUGAUGUGUAGGAUAGGUGGGAGGCUUUGAAGUGUGGACGCCAGUCUGCAUGGAGCCGACCUUGAAAUACCACCCUUUAAUGUUUGAUGUUCUAACGUGGACCCGUAAUCCGGGUUGCGGACAGUGUCUGGUGGGUAGUUUGACUGGGGCGGUCUCCUCCUAAAGAGUAACGGAGGAGCACGAAGGUUGGCUAAUCCUGGUCGGACAUCAGGAGGUUAGUGCAAUGGCAUAAGCCAGCUUGACUGCGAGCGUGACGGCGCGAGCAGGUGCGAAAGCAGGUCAUAGUGAUCCGGUGGUUCUGAAUGGAAGGGCCAUCGCUCAACGGAUAAAAGGUACUCCGGGGAUAACAGGCUGAUACCGCCCAAGAGUUCAUAUCGACGGCGGUGUUUGGCACCUCGAUGUCGGCUCAUCACAUCCUGGGGCUGAAGUAGGUCCCAAGGGUAUGGCUGUUCGCCAUUUAAAGUGGUACGCGAGCUGGGUUUAGAACGUCGUGAGACAGUUCGGUCCCUAUCUGCCGUGGGCGCUGGAGAACUGAGGGGGGCUGCUCCUAGUACGAGAGGACCGGAGUGGACGCAUCACUGGUGUUCGGGUUGUCAUGCCAAUGGCACUGCCCGGUAGCUAAAUGCGGAAGAGAUAAGUGCUGAAAGCAUCUAAGCACGAAACUUGCCCCGAGAUGAGUUCUCCCUGAGACUUAGAGUCUCCUGAAGGAACGUUGAAGACGACGACGUUGAUAGGCCGGGUGUGUAAGCGCAGCGAUGCGUUGAGCUAACCGGUACUAAUGAACCGUGAGGCUUAACCUUACA
rnacentral:rRNA from 1 species